rnacentral:misc_RNA from 1 species
AAAUGCGAUAAGUAAUGUGAAUUGCAGAAUUCAGUGAAUCAUCGAAUCUUUGAACGCACAUUGCGCCCGCCAGAGUGCUGGCGGGCAUGCCUGUCCGAGCGUCAUUUCAACCAUCAAGCCCCCGGGCUUGUGUUGGGGACCUGCGGCUGCCCGCAGGCCCUGAAAACCAGUGGCGGGCUCGCUGUCACACCGAGCGUAGUAGCAAUCACCUCGCUCAGGGCGUGCUGCGGGUUCCGGCCGUUAAACAGCCUUACAAAACCCAAGGUUGACCUCGGAUCAGGUAGGAAGACCCGCUGAACUUAAGC